CGGGUCGCUCCCGAUGGCAGGAAUCGUGUGUUUCACCGGGAGGUGAAUAAAGUUGGGGAGAACCGCGGGGCGGGCACUGUUUUGUUGAUGCGAUUUUAGCUUUGAAGUUUAGAAAGGAACACGAACGUACUGAAAACCACACGCGAGUCGCUGAUCAUCCGUCAGUUCAAGUCCUUCUCUUGCCAGUGCAACUCAGCCUCGGGCUGGAGCCUGAAGGAUGCAGUGAUUACAGGAUUUCAGAUGCCAACACUUCUACUUUAAGCUUUCACAGGAAGAAACAUAAAUUUAAAGCAACAGAUAGACAAGACUGUGAGCCGCACAGACAAAAUUUCUAUUCCCAAGAAUGGUUCAUAUCUGACAAGAGAGGACCCUACAAAAAGGAAAGGGUAGACCAUGACAAUGCCACAAUCCACA